UACAUCAGCUUUGAGUUCCUUUUCCAUCUUCUUCAUA
rnacentral:sRNA from 1 species